GUUUUCAACUGAAAAAGUCAUCAACAACAAAGUUGUAUAACUCAUCAGUAUCUAUAAAUUUUAUUUUGGUCAUUUCUUUAUCCGAUAAAGUGAUACUAACAUUGUUCACACUAUAUAAGAGAUAUGUACAUUUUGUGAACAAUGUUACAAAUCACUUUCUCGGAUGAAGAAAUGACUGAAAUAAAAGUUAUAGAUCUUGAUGAGUUAUACCACUUUGUUAUUGAUGACUUUUUCACUUAAAAUC
rnacentral:pre_miRNA from 1 species